rnacentral:rRNA from 1 species
CGCUUAGAAGGAAACGGACGGAGCUGAAAAGUCGCCUGUCGGAUUCAGUGUGCUGAAGCUUGGUAAAAAGUGGAAGCGUAUGCAGUUUCGUCAGGUGAGCGCUGCGACCAAUCUUUCUACUGGCGAAGGUUCCGGGUAUGCCGGCUGGGCUCUCGGGCCCAGUGUCCCUGCCUGGGUUCCUGUCCGGGUUAGCGAGAUUGUGAGCCAACCGUGCCCGACUGUUUGUCUCGGGGUGGACACCCAGGCGUUGGCGAAACCGUUAGGUCCUGCAUGCAGAGCCUUACAACUUCCGGCGUUUGUGAUGCUCUGGUACCCGAGAGGCACAGAUGGUCUGCGGCGUCCGCGUCAGCCAACCGUCCGACCCGUCUUGAAACACGGACCAAGGAGUCUAACAUGUGCGCAAGUCAUUGAAUUGCAAAUUUAAAGGCGAAAUGAAAGUAAAGGUCAGUUUGGCUGGCUUAGGUGAGAUCUCGGGUCCUCUGACCUGGGCGCAUCACCGUCCCGUCCUGUGAGUAAUGUCUCAGGGGCGGAGAAAGAGCGUACACGUUGGGACCCGAAAGAUGGUGAACUAUGCUUGAGCAGGAUGAAGCCAGAGGAAACUCUGGUGGAGGUCCGCAGCGGUUCUGACGUGCAAAUCG